rnacentral:rRNA from 1 species
AUGGCUGUAGACAUCAUUCAACCAACUGAUCCGGAGUUCAGAGUUGUACAUGAUAGGCUUCGGGAUGCGAGAUUUGCACCUCACUUUGAUGGUUGCAUAGGUGCGAUUGAUGGGUCACAUAUUCCUGUAAUUGUUCCAAAUGAUGAGAUCGUCAACCAUGUUGGUCGACAUGGAUACCCAACAAAGAAUAUCAUGGUCGUGUGUGACUUUGACAUGAGAUUCACUUCUAUUGUCGCGGGAUGGCCAGGGUCAGCACAUGACACAAGGAUAUUCAGAGAUACUUUGGUGAAGUAUGCAGAUAGGUUUCCCCAUCCACCUAUAGGGAGGUACUAUCUUGUUGACUCGGGUUAUCCC